UUGGGCGUAAGGGCUCGCAGGCGGUUUUUUAAGUCUGAUGUGAAAGCCCCCGGCUCAACCGGGGAGGGUCAUUGGAAACUGGGGAACUUGAGUGCAGAAGAGGAGAGUGGAAUUCCACGUGUAGCGGUGAAAUGCGUAGAGAUGUGGAGGAACACCAGUGGCGAAGGCGACUCUCUGGUCUGUAACUGACGCUGAGGAGCGAAAGCGUGGGGAGCGAACAGGAUUAGAUACCCUGGUAGUCCACGCCGUAAACGAUGAGUGCUAAGUGUUAGGGGGUUUCCGCCCCUUAGUGCUGCAGCUAACGCAUUAAGCACUCCGCCUGGGGAGUACGGUCGCAAGACUGAAACUCAAAGGAAUUGACGGGGGCCCGCACAAGCGGUGGAGCAUGUGGUUUAAUUCGAAGCAACGCGAAGAACCUUACCAGGUCUUGACAUCCUCUGACAAUCCUAGAGAUAGGACGUCCCCUUCGGGGGCAGAGUGACAGGUGGUGCAUGGUUGUCGUCAGCUCGUGUCGUGAGAUGUUGGGUUAAGUCCCGCAACGAGCGCAACCCUUGAUCUUAGUUGCCAGCAUUCAGUUGGGCACUCUAAGGUGACUGCCGGUGACAAACCGGAGGAAGGUGGGGAUGACGUCAAAUCAUCAUGCCCCUUAUGACCUGGGCUACACACGUGCUACAAUGGACAGAACAAAGGGCAGCGAAACCGCGAGGUUAAGCCAAUCCCA
rnacentral:rRNA from 1 species